rnacentral:rRNA from 1 species
GUAUUGAAAGCUCUGGCGGAUAGAGAUGGGCACGCGCAAGAUUAGAUAUUUGGUGAGGUACUGGCUCACCAAGUCAAUGAUCUUUAGGGGGCCUGAGAGGGUGAUCCCCCACACUGGUAGUGAGACUCGGACCAGACUCGUACGGGAGUCAUCAGUGAGGAAUAUUGGACAAUGGGUGGAAGCCUGAUCCAGCCAUCCCGCGUGAAGGACGACGGCCCUAUGGGUUGUAAACUUCUUUUGUACAGGGAUAAACCUACUCUCGUGAGGGUAGUUGAAGGUACUGUACGAAUAAGCACCGGCUAACUCCGUGCCAGCAGCCGCGGUAAUACGGAGGGUGCGAGCGUUAUCCGGAUUUAUUGGGUUUAAAGGGUCCGCAGGCGGGCUAGUAAGUCAGUGGUGAAAGCCUACAGCUUAACUGUAGAACUGCCGUUGAUACUGCUAGUCUUGAGUAUAGUUGAGGUAGCUGGAAUGAGUAGUGUAGCGGUGAAAUGCAUAGAUAUUACUCAGAACACCGAUUGCGAAGGCAGGUUACCAAGUUAUAACUGACGCUGAGGGACGAAAGCGUGGGGAGCGAACAGGAUUAGAUACCCUGGUAGUCCACGCCGUAAACGAUGCUAACUCGUUUUUGGGCUUUAGGGUUCAGAGACUAAGCGA